AUGAGAAAUUGUAAAAUACUAUUUCAAAUUUUUAGAGUUAACCAUUAUAUUGGAUUAUAAAUUUAAACUGUAAUUUUCGUUCUAGCUCUUGUAUUACAAUUUAAUAUUUAUUGCAUAAAACCGUUUUUAUUACCUUCAACAACAUGUUGAAUGUGUAGUGAUCACGUCACCUACAGGUAUCAGUAGUCAAGGAUGAUGGUUGGAAGACUGGCGUGAAGGUGCUCUGGCUAGUCUGGUCAAGUCGCGUCUGAAUACAGGCCGUUUCGGGGUCCCUUAUAUAGUGCUACCCUCUACUCCCCAUAGUCUACUCGUUCUUGUCGCUGUUCUCACGGAUGUGGUAUAAUUAUCUAGACUGACGGAAAUGUUACUCGCCCACAUACAAGCCAAAUGUGCAUCCCGUGCAGCUGCAAACCUUGAAAUGCUGUCCCUCCUACAUUUACAAGGAUCGUCGCACCCUUCCCUAGAUUGAUGCGGCUGGUACCUAGUUGACCGUGAACUAUGCAAUGCGGGACGCUAGUCCAUAGCAAAUGCAUGUUUAUUUUGCCUGAAAUCAUCAAAAUCACACCUAGGUCUAUUAUUGCAUAAAUUUCCAACAUAGAAGUUGGCCCCAAAAUUUAUGGAUUUCUAAUUAAUGAUAAUGGAUAUAAUUGAAAAAUGUGCUCCAGGAAUUUUGAGGAAGAUUGUUUUAUUGAAAAUAUUAAACAGUAAAUGCCUUUAAAUAACGUUGCAGACCUAAAAUUAUAAUCACAGAGGAUUGUGGUGUAUCUGUAUUAGAACCUGAAGUAUUGUGGCCUACAUUUCCAAAUCUUAUAUCUAUUUAUGAAUCAAAAGAACCUUUGGAUUUGUUGUUAAGUCCUAAUAUAAAUGAAUUAUUUGCUGUAACACAAAGUUCUUUAAUUGUGAUAUUACAACAUCAGACCUGGAUACUCCACGACGUGCAAAGWAUCGUUUUAAAUUAGCAAAAAUCAAAAUCAAUAAAAAAAUCAAUGUAUUACAUCAAAAAAUGAGAUGAAUUCAAAUCAAGCUAACAAACUUCAAAGCUUUAUUUAAAAAUUUAGAUAUUAAAUUGAUGAUACUUAUGAUUAUAUAUUGGUAGGUAAAUAGACAAGUAGACAACUGUACUCUGUUGGUACAGAGGUUCCUAAACUUUUCACCGACAAUCAAUUUUAGAGAAUUUUUAAUGGCAACCCACAGUAUACUUAUUACCAUUUUUGCUGUUUUGUUAUAUCUGAAAUAACUUAAAGUAUGUCAACGUUGUGAUGACAUGUAACUAUAUCACUGGUACACUUGUAACCCCUUAUAUGUACCGUGUGUUCACCAGUUUAGGGAACACUGAAUUUCUCGGCCAGAUUAUGUUGGAAUAAAUCAAAUUUUUUUUACAAACUGUUGGUAUAUAAAUACACAUUUUCAGAUAAACUUCACAUUUUUAACCGGCUUGGUACGCACAUGCGCAACGCAACUUUUUUUUUUUAAUGGCAACCUGUUAUUUUUGAUACCAAAUUCGGAUAGACUGAAUAUUUUUACGUCAUUUUGACCAAUUAACCAUGGCUCUUAAACCUAAAUUAACUAAAUGAGAGCCAUUCAAAUUUUAAUCAAUAAUACAGUUUUGCAAUUCAUUAUAA